rnacentral:rRNA from 1 species
CCUACGGGGGGCUGCAGUGGGGAAUAUUGGGCAAUGGGCGCAAGCCUGACCCAGCAACGCCGCGUGAAGGAAGAAGGCUUUCGGGUUGUAAACUUCUUUUGACAGGGAAGAGCAGUAGACGGUACCUGUCGAAUAAGCCAGGCCUAACUACGUGCCAGUAGCAGCGGUAAUACGUAGGUGGCAAGCGCUGUCCGGAAUUACUGGGUGUAAAGGUCGUGUAGUCGGGUUGACAAGUCAGAUGUGAAAUCCCGGGGCUCAAACCCCGGACUGCAUUUGAUACUGUUAGACUUGAGUAUCGGAGAGGCAGGCGGAAUUCCUAGUGUAGCGGUGAAAUGCGUAGAUAUUAGGAGGAACACCAGAGGCGAAGGCGGCCUGCUGGA